GGUCUAGUGGUAUAACGGUUAUUACGUUUCGUUUACAUUCUAGCGGCUGUUAUCAACCGUGUAUGUGCCGAAAAGGCUCCGAGUUCGAUUCUCGGCUGGAUCA
rfam:Babjeviella inositovora NRRL Y-12698 unplaced genomic scaffold BABINscaffold_18, whole genome shotgun sequence.